rnacentral:lncRNA from 1 species
GCUUCUGUCGCUGAGAUGCGAUUGCGAUGCGCGCGGCCAGUGUCCCCUUGUACAAAAUAUGCCUCGAGAUUUGUGCGAGAUUCGCUUAGGAAUAAAGCAUAGCGUAGCCGUGGCCCACGGUGGCUGAUUUGGGAAGGAGGAGGGAGUAGGGCUUAAGCUGCUCGAAUCGCGGGUGCGCACUCGGGCACGCAGAGACUGGGACCCAAAGCAGGUUUGUCAUUUCGCAAUUUAUAGUAGUCUGAGGCCGGGCACACGCCUCCCGCCCUUCAGCGGCCAGGAUUUGGGAAUCCUAUGUCAGGGAUAUGCACGUGUAAGUGUGUGGCGGACUGCUGGCGUCUUUCUUAAUGGGAAUACUUAGGAAUCGCUGUGGCUAAAGAUAGUUUCAGUAGCGUCUCUAAGUACCCUUGCCUGAGCAAGGGAAAGGGGGUGGGGUGUGGAUUACUCCACUGCAUACCCCUCGGUAUUGAUUAUCUUUGCUGUUCAGAGAUGAGGGCAUGCUCAGGCAGCUUAAGCAGGUGCACAAAUGCAGAAAAAUACAGGUCUACCGUUAGAGGGACAGACUCAAAAUAUAAAGACUUAAUAGUAUAAAUGUAAUUGCACCCCGCACACGGAAAGACACAAUCGCUUUACAUCCUCUUUCCUUCAUCAAGCAUUCCCUGACUGCCCACUAUGUGGCAGGCACUGCUAGAUAAGAUACAAGAUAAGUAAGUUGGAUUCUCCCCCCCACGGUAAUCAGCCUAGGAGGGUAGACAAACAUGUAAACAGAAACUGCAAUAAGGGAUGAUAAGUGUGACUACAAAGUGGUCUAUUCUUAUGGUAUCUGUUGGAGGUUGCCUGUAGAGACCUAGACCCCUCUAAACAGAAUCUGCCUCAAAAGGAUCCAGAAAAGAGAUGUUAGUGGUGCACUGUGGCAGUGCCCCUUGGGUACAGCCCGGGCCAGUUGGAUCCCACAGCUGAACAACUGGGGAACCCUCAGCUCUCUACUGUCUCCCAUGAAAACCAAGGGAAGAGAGGAUCUCUGACUUUCACAAUCUUCAUAUGUCCUCAGGGCCAAGAGCAAUAAGAGGACACCACUUUAGUGGAG